rnacentral:RNase_P_RNA from 1 species
CAAGCCGGAUGGAUGACCGCCUGCCGCACCUGCGGCGGGAGGAAAGUCCGGGCUCCGGAGAACAGGGUGCUGGGUAACGCCCAGGCGGGGAAACCCGACGGAAAGUGCCACAGAGAACAGACCGCCAACGGCCGCCCCGCUUUCUUUGGACGGCGGGCGGUGCGGGCAAGGGUGAAACGGUGGGGUAAGAGCCCACCGCUCCGCUGGCGACAGCGGGGGCACGGCAAACCCCACCCGGAGCAAGACCAAAUAGGGAGGCGCUUGAGGGCGGUUCGUCCGAUGCCUCCGGGUUGGUCGCUCGAGGGCGGGAGCAAUCCCGCUCCCAGAUAGAUGGUCAUCGCCUCGCGUGCCGGUAACGGCUGCGGGGACACAGAACCCGGCUUACAGCCCGGCUUGGGCC